AUUGAACGCUGGCGGUAGGCCUAACACAUGCAAGUCGAGCGGAAGAAGGGUGCUUGCUCCUGGUUUCAGGGGCGGACGGGCGGGCGAUGGCGAGGAACCUGCGAGUCUGCGGGUGAGAACGUGCGGACGCGGGGGCUCAUACCCUAAACGCGCAGAGGAAGUACGGGGGGGAUCAUCGGACCUUACGACAUCAGAUGAGCCGAGGUCGGAUUAGCUAGUUGGUGGGGUAAAGGCCUACCAAGGCGACGAUCCGUAGCUGGUCUGAGAGGAUGAUCAGCCACACUGGAACUGAGACACGGUCCAGACUCCUACGGGAGGCAGCAGUGGGGAAUAUUGGACAAUGGGCGAAAGCCUGAUCCAGCCAUACCGCGUGUGUGAAGAAGGUCUUCGGAUUGUAAAGCACUUUUGUUUGGAAAGAAAAGCAGUAGGUUAAUACCUCGCUGUUUUGACGGUACCAAAAGAAUAAGCACCGGCUAACUUCGUG
rnacentral:rRNA from 1 species